rnacentral:rRNA from 1 species
AACGAACGCUGGCGGCAUGCCUAACACAUGCAAGUCGAACGAGACCUUCGGGUCUAGUGGCGCACGGGUGCGUAACGCGUGGGAACCUGCCCUUAGGUUCGGAAUAACAGUUAGAAAUGACUGCUAAUACCGGAUAAUGUCUUCGGACCAAAGAUUUAUCGCCUUUGGAUAGGCCCGCGUAAGAUUAGGUAGUUGGUGGGGUAAUGGCCUACCAAGCCGACGAUCUUUAGCUGGUCUGAGAGGAUGAUCAGCCACACUGGGACUGAGACACGGCCCAGACUCCUACGGGAGGCAGCAGUGGGGAAUAUUGGACAAUGGGCGAAAGCCUGAUCCAGCAAUGCCGCGUGAGUGAUGAAGGCCUUAGGGUUGUAAAGCUCUUUUACCAGGGAUGAUAAUGACAGUACCUGGAGAAUAAGCUCCGGCUAACUCCGUGCCAGCCGCCGCAGUAA